UGCCUAGUACACUGGAGUUCAACACAUUCAGAAAUCAGCCUGCCUCGGUGGUGGUGGGGUUGCUGAACCACACAGCGAGAACAUGGGCCCUGUGUAAAAAGCUCCCAGCCUCCCUGCGUACGGAAGACAGCACUGACCCAGAGCUGAGCAAAGGGCAGGCUACAACCCCUGCCACCUCUGAGCUGGGCCUUUCAGCCACAGCCCCAUGUCAUUCAUGGUUGAAGUCCUGCUGCCGCAGGGCCACACAAGGUUGUUGCAGCGCAAGCCCACUCUGGCCACACUGUGAGUUGGAGAGAGCUUUGAAGCCAUCAAGGAGAGCCUUCCUCUCUCGAUGCCUCUGGAGAUGUCCUUCGGUUGGUGCUUUGGCCUCAAGAGUGUGGAAAAUCUGUUCUUCCAGCUUCAUCCAGAUGGAAACUGUGUCCUGAGGUGAAUGGUUCCCCUCAAGCUGUCUUCACAACAAAACAGACCCUGAGCCCUACCAGAGGGAGGAGGAAAAAAAGACCAAAAACACUGUGAAUUAAGAAAUUUGUCAGAAGAAAAGGGGGGACCACUCGCUGAGUUUGCUCUCUCGGCCUCUCACCAAGGACCUCAGGACCUGGAGUCUUCCUCAGCCUUGGGCUAUAGGCUGCUCACUUCCCUCUCUGGGCCUCAUGUUUUCCUCAGAGACGGCAGCUCCCCAUCCCCCUCGGCAGGCCUGCAGCUUCGUGCACUUGCUUUCCCAGCACCAACACAGCACCCCCUACAUAGUGGGUGCUCAGACCCCUUUUGGUGAGUACAUUCGUGAAAUUCUGAGACCCAGAAUUCUCCCUGAGACCAGGUUCUGAGAACCUCUGGAGGUUGCCUCCAGAGUCCUUUGGAAUCAAACCCAUUUUCUCCUGGGAAGCAUAGCUCUCAGCUUAGGAAAGUACAGGUGCCACAAUGUGGGAACAGAAGCUACAGUGAGAUCAGAGCAGAUGAUAUCUAGAGAACCUCCUAAAAGGAAAAGUAUGUGUCAAAAUAUAAUGGGUAAUUUUGCAAUGUGAUAGAAAGUGUUGUUCCACGUUUUCAACCCCAGCUUUUAUUUGGGUUAAAAACUUUUCUGUUUCCUUUGCCUGAGUCUGAGACUUACAUCCUGGCUUAGAUACUUAUGCUGUACAUGUAUGUGUGUAUAUGUAUGUCUAAGUCUGUAUAUAUGCAUAUAUGUACACUCUGAUCAUAAUCACAGCACCGUUGAGGCCUCUGAGGUGAUCCCCCAAUAAAUAACAUUUCUCUUCCCUAUCCA
rnacentral:lncRNA from 12 species